rnacentral:lncRNA from 1 species
GGAGUCUGCGCUGAGUGAAGAGGUGCCAGAAUCCGCGAAGAGGGUCGACGAAUGCGCUGCCGCGGAGGUGGGCCAAAUAAUCAUGGCAACAGGACUUUUAGAAGCACGUCCUCUGAAAGCCAUUUUCUGCCUGUGGUUGGAAAGGGACUGUGAGUCUUUCCUCAGGAAGUCAGUAGCCCUACCUGGUGAGGUGAUCAAGAGUUUGCUAGCACAAGAGAUGAAGCAACAAUGGCCAUGAGGGAUUCAAGGAUUAUGCGGUCUUAUGAAACACUUAAGAGCUACAUAAGGACCUAGACUUUAGGUUUGCUCCACAGGACCACACUUCCAGUUCUGUUUCACUUCCAGAUUUUCCCAGUUUUCCAUGCCUUUUCUCUGGUGAUGGCAGAAGAAGCACUGAUCUGAUUCAAGGGCAGGCAGGAGAGGAGAAAGCCAAAUCAAGAGCCUGAAUAAGCAAUACCCAGCAUAAUUUCAUUGACCACAUUCAGUCUAUCAGUCUUUUGGGAAAUAUUUAUAUUUUUCCUUCUCCCUGCCUUUGUCACCAAAAAAUUUCAUUUCCCUCUUCAGUGGCUCAGCUCAGAACAUAAGUGGGAGAGUGGGAAUAAUCUCUUAGGAAAGGCAGCCAAACCACAGCACACCUUGUUCUUUUGGAGUUUUGCUUAUCCUCCCAUUUGAAGUUAUGUGAGUUGUUCUAUUUGUGUCUGUUCCACUUGUACCUGCCACCUUUAGGGCUAUGCCUUGUAAAGUGGCAGAAGUUGGAAACUUUAGUAAACAUUUUCUUUUUAAAAUAAA